rnacentral:rRNA from 1 species
GUUGAAUAAUUAUUUGUAAUAUAUUUUUUGUAAUUAUAUGUUAUUCGUUUUUCAAUAUAUCUGGUUUUUGAGGAAAUUAAUUUAAUUAAGCUGAAUUUUGAAUUUUUCUAUAUAUUUAGAUUUUAUUAAGAUUUAUGUAAUGUUUAAGGGGAUAAGCUUUUAAACAAAUCUAUAUAAUUAAAUAUUGUAUUGUUUGAUGUAGGAAUAGAAGUUUUCAUCUUUUGAAGUGUAUUAUUACUUGAUUUUAUAAUAUUUGAUUUUUGUUUUUUUAUAUUUUUUACUUAAAUUAUAAUUUGAAUUGUUUUUGUUUUGUAAUAAUGAUUGAAUUAGUAUAUUAAAUUGUUUUUAUAUUAUUGUUUGGUAGGUUAUCUAAAGGAAUUCGGCAAUUAAAUUUUCUGCCUGUUUAUUAAAAACAUGGCCUUUUGAUAAUAAUUUAAGGUCUGACCUGCUCUAUGAUUAAUUAAAUGGCUGCGGUAUUUUGACCGUGCAAAGGUAGCAUAAUCAUUAGUUUUUUAAUUGGAAGCUGGUAUGAAUGGUUGGACAAGAGAAUUACUGUCUCUGGAUAAUUUGGUUUGAAUUUUAUUUUUUAGUGAGAAAGCUUAAAUUUUUGUGAGGGACGAGAAGACCCUAUAGAAUUUUAUAGAUUAAUUUUGGUGAGGUUUUUAGGUUAAUUGGUUUAGUUUAAAUUAAUUUGUUUUGUUGGGGCGAUAGAAAAAUUUAUUUAACUUUUUUUUACUUUAUACAUUGAUAUAUGAGUAUAUGAUCCAUUAAUUAUGAUUAUAAGAUAAAAUUACCUUAGGGAUAACAGCGUUAUUAGUUUGGAGAGUUCUUAUCGAUAAACUAGAUUGCG